rnacentral:rRNA from 1 species
UAAUACGUAGGGGGCGAGCGUUGUCCGGAUUCAUUGGGCGUAAAGAGCUCGUAGGCGGCUUGGCAAGUCGGGUGUGAAAACUUCAGGCUCAACCUGGAGCGGCCACUCGAUACUGCCAUGGCUCGAGUCCGGUAGGGGACCACGGAAUUCCUGGUGUAGCGGUGAAAUGCGCAGAUAUCAGGAGGAACACCGGUGGCGAAGGCGGUGGUCUGGGCCGGAACUGACGCUGAGGAGCGAAAGCGUGGGGAGCGAACAGGAUUAGAUACCCUGGUAGUCCACGCCGUAAACGUUGGGCACUAGGUGUGGGGACCUAUCUGACGGUUUCCGUGCCGUAGCUAACGCAUUAAGUGCCCCGCCUGGGGAGUACGGCCGCAAGGCU